rnacentral:rRNA from 1 species
UACGAGAGGCGCAAACGUUAUUCGGAAUUACUGGGCUUAAAGAGUUCGUAGGCGGCGCAGAAAGUAGGGUGUGAAAGCCCUCGGCUUAACCGAGGAAUUGCGCUCUAAACUACUGUGCUUGAGGGACCUAGAGGUGAGCGGAACUGAUGGUGGAGCGGUGAAAUGCGUUGAUAUCAUCAGGAACAACCGGGAGGCGAAGGCGGCCUCACUGGGGGGUCU